CCAAAAGCCUUAAAAAGCAGUUGCUGGGGAAGAGGUGAGAUAUGCUGAUAUAUAAAACACAGAAUUUAAUUUAGACUACAUAUUGUAAAGGUAAUAUUAUUCACUCACAGUUGCUUAUGCAACUGAAUUUUUUUUCUACAGAUAGAGAAACAGAGAAACAUGAGAGAAACAGAGAAACAUGCUUACAAGUAAUAGACUGAAACAAUCUGAAAUUCAGUGCAGAACAUCAAUCAAAACGUUGCAGGAAACAGUUCAUUUGCGGGACGGGACUCUCUGA
rnacentral:lncRNA from 1 species